AAAAAAUAUUAUCUGACCCACACUCCGGAACAGAAGAGGGCGGUAUUGCACCAAUAAGCUGGAUGCCAACCGCCGUUAAACUGGAAAGAAGACGAAUAUGACAGCUUGCUGUGAGAGACAACGGGACAGAUGAGACACACGUGUGUUUAUCUGCUGUAGAGUAACUGAUGAAGGAAUGCUGCCACCAAAGGAUUUGUGGCAUGAAAAUGUCUGUAGACUGGUGUGUGCACUGGGGAUGGAGAAGACCACAGCAACAUCCUGGAAAUGAUCGAGAGUCACAGAUGAGACGCUCCAUCACUCCAGCUCUUACUGUUUCAUCAGGAUCAGAUGCUGCUGUGGUGUCUUCAUCCUCAGUGACCCCAGAGCCAGUGAGAGCAUCUAGAGAAAGACCACAAGACACUGAGGAUCUGAUUUUGGUAAAGUUUGUUCAGCUGGUUAAUGUUUAAACAAUGAAGGCUGACUUUCAGAAUCUUCAAAAGCAUCAUCAAAAAUGUGAUGGAGCUUUUAUCUGAAGUGAUUGACAGUGCUCUUAUUACAGGGGCCUACAAUCCCCUGAUCAACCUAGAGAAGAGAGCCUUGCUCAAGGACACACUGGUGUUCCCGUGGCUCAAGUGGUAGAGCAUUGCGUUAGCAGUGCAAGGUUGUGGGUUCGAAUACCAGGGAACACAUGUUAGGUAAAAACUGUUAGUCUGAAUGCACUGUAAGUCACUUUGGAUAAAUGUAUAAUUUAUUUAUAAAUUUGAACCACUUCAGUGGUUUAGCCCACU